AUGCCUUGAUGUGGGGGAUAACUAUUGGAAACGAUAGCUAAUACCGCAUAAUGCCUUCGGGCCAAAUAGGGGGACCUUCGGGCCUCUCGCGUCAAGAUUAGCCCAGGUGGGAUUAGCUAGUUGGUGAGGUAAAGGCUCACCAAGGCGACGAUCCCUAGCUGGUCUGAGAGGAUGAUCAGCCACACUGGAACUGAGACACGGUCCAGACUCCUACGGGAGGCAGCAGUGGGGAAUAUUGCACAAUGGGCGCAAGCCUGAUGCAGCCAUGCCGCGUGUGUGAAGAAGGCCUUCGGGUUGUAAAGCACUUUCAGCAGUGAGGAAGGCGGGUACGUUAAUAGCGUGUUCGUUUGACGUUAGCUGCAGAAGAAGCACCGGCUAACUCCGUGCCAGCAGCCGCGGUAAUACGGAGGGUGCGAGCGUUAAUCGGAAUUACUGGGCGUAAAGCGCAUGCAGGUGGUUUGUUAAGUCAGAUGUGAAAGCCCGGGGCUCAACCUCGGAACAGCAUUUGAAACUGGCAGACUAGAGUACUGUAGAGGGGGGUAGAAUUUCAGGUGUAGCGGUGAAAUGCGUAGAGAUCUGAAGGAACACCGGUGGCGAAGGCGGUCCCCCU
rnacentral:rRNA from 1 species